UCUAUCUAAACCACAAUUCGUUUCAGCCGCUCCACCUUUCUCUACAAACCCUAGAUUCUCCCCCGCUCCUCCACGGCUCAUCCAUGGAACCGGUCGUCGCCAUCACCGUCUUCUCUCCUUCUCCACUCCAACAGUCCUUCAUGAUCUAGGGUUUCACUGAGAAACCAGCCGUUUCAUGAUCUAGGGUUUUUCUGUAGAUCCGACGCUAUCUCAACAGAUUCGAAACCAAAUCGAUUUCUAUGGCUUCUUUCCCGGUGGCUUCAAGAUCCGACACUAUCUCAGUAGAUCCGACACCAGAUCUACUGGUUUGACUGUAGGAUCUUCCGUUUGGUUGUGGGUUCGUCAAAGAUGGUGGUUGUGGGUGGAAGAUCUGGCCAGAUCUAUGGCUCUGUUCUUUAAAUUUCUUGGAGGAUCUUAAGCUCAGGUGCAACGGGAAAUGUGAAUAAGGGUUCCAAAUUUUCCAACUUUAAUAUUUAAUUUAAAGUUUUAGGAUUUGGUCAUUACAUUUGUUUUCUUGGAAAAAAUAAGAUCUCUUAUACUAAUUAGAGUUUUUGUUUUCAUGAGAUAGCAGUUUCAUGGGUGAUUUUAAGUUCAGAAGGAAGAAGGAACUUAGACUGAAGAUGUUCUUGAUGAUGGAAUCGUGAAAAACAUACAAAUCUUAUUGCUUCUUCAGGUUGCGGUUGCCUAUGAAAGUAUGAAAAUCUACCAAGCAAACUGCGGUUAACCCUGUUAAUUAUAGUUUGCUAUUUAAAAUGUGUUUUGGAGAAAAAAAGUGUAAUGUGUUUAUUCAAAAUUGGAGUAAAAAGUUUAAUGUGUUUAUUCGCGGUUAAACCUGGUAAUUAUGGUUUGCUAUUUAAAAUGUGUUUUGGAGUAAAGAAGUGUAAUGUGUAUUCAAAAUUGUUUGUUUCGCUCACAAGUGGGUCGACAUUGCUGGUACUGAGGCUGAUUUUGAAGCUAUAAAUAUCUGGCUAAAUGGGUCGGUUUUGGUAACGGUUCAGAUGGGUAAGCUCGAUAUGUGGCUGAAAGACGGAUUCCAUUUGUUGCUCUUGAUGUGACAAGGUAUAAAGUCAUUUAUAUUUUUUAUGUGCUAAAUGGGUUAAAGAAAUGAGGAUUCGAGCUCUGGAGAUGGUGUCAGAACUGAAAGAGCGGAUAAACAGGGCCUUCUGGUUUUUGCUAUCGGUGUAGGCCUCAGCGCAUUUGACAAAGCAUCCGUCCACUAUUAUCUGCAGUCGCACAUUCAAAUCAAUGAAUUCUACCGAGGAGUUCGUGAUUCGCAGCUGAUCGGAUUAUCCGGUUACACAAAAGAGGGCCUUCUGGUUUCUGCUAUCGGUGUAGGCCUCAGCACAUUUGACAAAGCAUCCGUAAGACUUCGUUAUACUGAAUUGUGAUCGUGUGAUUCUGGUGCAGUCGCACAUUCGAUGUCGCACAUUCGAUGGAAUUCACAACUUCAAGAUAUUGUUUUCUUUAAAUGUUUACACAGAGCCACGUGCAGAGAACCUAAAGAUUGCAGCUUAUAGAACUCUUCUUGGACAUACUGCUUCUGUGCAAAGUGUUGCAGCACAGCCUACUGCGAAUAUGGUGUGUUCUGGUUCUACACAAUAUGAAUUAAAAAUGAAUGAUUUGUCUAUUGUGCUUCAAGUAUUUUCUCUCACUAUUCGUUCUUCAUGUUGUUCAAAAAGAAGCCCUAAAUCGGUCAUAUUUUGAACGAUUUCUUAUCUGAAAUCGCUGUUAGGGGCUACAAUCGAACGAAAAAAGAGGCUGAGAGGUAUCUGUAUUCUCAUAAUCGAAAGAAGGAUGAAGGGAAACAACGAACUGGGUUCUAAUAGGGCUCUCAAGGGGUUUUGAGUGAGAUAUAGUGCCGAAAAAUGAAGAAACUUAAGAACCAUUAGCAGUUUCUCCAGCAUUGGUGCUUGAAGACGAGGUGUGCCAUCCACUACAAUUAAGGUGAACACGAAGAAGCGACUGAUAACGAUUGGCGGGCGUUUGAAGGUAUCCAAAAAUGGUGGUAAGUGAGUACGAGGAUGAGCUUGGUAAGACGAGGCGACGGUGGUGUGUUGAGGAUCUAACCGGUAGGUGUACUCCUCGAAGCUAUAGAGUAAGUUUUAGAUACGCCUUUCAUCAAUAUCACCAAUUGGUAGGUGUACUUUGUGAAUAUUCUUUAAUUUUUUAUUUAAUCUAUUUACCGAUUUGCGACUUAUAAGACUGCAGAUUGGCUUUAGAACUUGCAGACAAGUGUACUCUGAAUGUCUUAGUAUGUGUGGACCUCUGAUGGCGUUGUGUUCAAGUACGGCUCUAAGCCUAUUCAGAACUUUCUAUAGGGAUUGAUGAUGUGUUGUCUUAUAUGAUAUGUUUGAGGAAGAACUGAUCAGCCUGCAUCCCAACAUCAACUUCAAAAUGUGAUUCAACAUCAACAUCAGAUGAUAUUUUGGCUCGCAAUAAAAAGAUGAACUCUAUGUCUUCUAGGUAUCAAAUGAGGUGUAUGCACAAUUCUCAGCUGGCAUUUAGGUAAAGUAAUUUAUAUUUAUAUAAAAUCCAAGCAUUAGUUUGCUUUGUGAACACCCCUAAUAUAUACAUUCAACUAGGGGUGUUCAUGGUCCGGUUUUGACGGUUUCUAGGUCAAAGAGUGAGCCAAACUGUUAGUAACGGUUUUUAUCGUGAACACCUCUUAUAUCAAUUGUUGCGGAGAUAAUGUUAAAAUCCUAUGAACAAGGAUAAAUGGGAGUGGAUUGGAGGGAAUGAUGGAGAAAAAGUUUUGUUGGUGCAGUUAUUUUAUUUUAAGAAGGAACACAGACUAUAGCGGGAAUUAUGUUUUGAAGUGGUCAAAAUGGGUUCCAAGAAAGUGUAAUAUUUUGGUGUGGAGAGCUGCGAUGGGUCGGAUCUAGACAGUGGAUGCUUUAAGAAACGCAACUGCUACAGGGGCGAGGAUACCUGCAUUUUAUGCGAAGACGGGUCACAGACUGCUGACCUUAUUUUUUUGCUCUUGUUAUGCUGCAGCGGCGCUGGCAUGCGUUGGAGUCAGAUCUGCGGAUUCUAGAAAUAGCCAAUUGUAUAGUGUUUUGUUAUUUGUGUGAUGUGUAGUUUGUUUAGUGUUUUCUUUUCUUUUCUUCAUAUGGCUGAUGUGUGGUGGUUAUAGUUAGACGUAAUAGGACCGUACUCUUGAUACGAGUAUUUGUUGGUGUUAUACUUUUAUGUUAGGUGGAACCAUGGGUUCAUGAUUUUUUUGGGUGGUGUAUUCUUGUAAUCCAUACCUUCAAGACCCACUAACUAUUUUGACUAUGAAAAUGUUGUUUUAAAUUA